GGCCUGGUAGCUCAGUUGGUUAGAGCAUCGUCCUGAUACUGCGAGGUUGUGGCUUUGAUCACCAGUCAGGGCA
rnacentral:tRNA from 1 species